GGGCUGAAGGCUGCCACCAAGAGACAGAAAUAUGAAAGGAUUAGCGAGAAGAAAAUGUCCACCCCCAUCGAAGUGUUGUGUAAAGGCUACCCUUCCGAAUUUGCCACAUACCUGAAUUUCUGCCGUUCCUUGCGUUUUGACGACAAGCCUGACUACUCGUACCUGCGGCAGCUUUUCCGGAAUCUGUUCCAUCGCCAGGGCUUCUCCUAUGACUACGUGUUCGACUGGAACAUGCUCAAAUUUGGUGCCAGCCGGGCCGCCGAUGACGCCGAGCGGGAGCGCAGGGACCGAGAGGAGCGGCUGAGACACUCGCGGAACCCGGCUACCCGCGGCCUCCCUUCCACAGCCUCCGGCCGCCUGCGGGGGACGCAGGAAGUGGCUCCCCCCACACCCCUCACCCCUACCUCACACACGGGUGAGUGCCCCCCUCCCAGCGCUCUGGGGCUGGCUCUGGGGUAACUUCUUGUGUCUUGGGGUUGGUGGGGACAACAGGGUACUUGGUGGUGGACGCUGUAAGUGCCCUGUGUCAGGCGAUGCUCGCUCCUGAGGGUGGAUGAGCCAGGCUGCCCAGGCGCCUUUAGAAAUGCGGGCACCUGCUGGUGUGCGUGA
rnacentral:sRNA from 1 species